rnacentral:rRNA from 1 species
GACAGAGGGUGCAAACGUUGUUCGGAAUUACUGGGCGUAAAGCGCGUGUAGGUGGCAAGGCAAGUCGGGUGUGAAAGCCCUGGGCUCAACCCAGGAAGUGCACUCGAUACUGCCUCGCUAGAGUCCCGGAGAGGUUGGUGGAACUCUCGGUGUAGAGGUGAAAUUCGUAGAUAUCGAGAAGAACACCGGUGGCGAAGGCGGCCAACUGGACGGUGACUGACACUGAGACGCGAAAGCGUGGGGAGACAAACA